rnacentral:rRNA from 1 species
AUUGAACGCUGGCGGCAGGCCUAACACAUGCAAGUCGAGCGGCAGCGGGAAAGUAGCUUGCUACUUUUGCCGGCGAGCGGCGGACGGGUGAGUAAUGCCUGGGGAUCUGCCCAGUCGAGGGGGAUAACUACUGGAAACGGUAGCUAAUACCGCAUACGCCCUACGGGGGAAAGCAGGGGACCUUCGGGCCUUGCGCGAUUGGAUGAACCCAGGUGGGAUUAGCUAGUUGGUGAGGUAACGGCUCACCAAGGCGACGAUCCCUAGCUGGUCUGAGAGGAUGAGCAGCCACACUGGAACUGAGACACGGUCCAGACUCCUACGGGAGGCAGCAGUGGGGAAUAUUGCACAAUGGGGGAAACCCUGAUGCAGCCAUGCCGCGUGUGUGAAAAAGGCCUUCGGGUUGUAAAGCACUUUCAGCGAGGAGGAAAGGUCAGUAGCUAAUAUCUGCUGGCUGUGACGUUACUCGCAGAAGAAGCACCGGCUAACUCCGUGCCAGCAGCCGCGGUAA